GCUUUUAAUCAAAGGUAAAUUUGUGGAAAACAUUUCCGGUGCUUGUUUGCUGAAUUGGCAAUGAUGGAUUAAGUUAGUAUUGCGUUUUAGCAAAAAUGCUAACUUUUCAUUAUGAUUUUAAAUCAGGAAGUGAAUUGUCCUCCUCUGCAUUGGAGUUACUCUUGUGAACAGCACUACUGAGUUUGCAAAUGCACGUGCAGCCAGCUUAAAGUUACUGCACGUCUGUAAUAUACACCUGAGCUCAAGGAGGAAUCCACACAACAGACAACUACACAUGCAUUAAACAGUGUUUUAAGAACCCUUAUGAGAGCUUCUUCAGACUUUUAUUUCUGGAAAGUUUUAUCUCAGGAAUAUGAGGCAUGAACGACUGAAUGGAUUUAAAGUGAUGAAUACCCAUUGUGAUAACUUAAAGGAUGUGGAGGCCUUUCUGCAAGAGUUUGCAGCCAGUGGACUUCCUACAGGAAAGCAUGGCAGCACCGAGCAUAUUAUGCUGAAGUUGGAGCUAAUAAAUGUUGAGCAGCAGUUGAUCACACUGCAAUUAUUGCUAAGGAGACAAGAGAGGAAACGUGGGAGGAGAUGUAUUGAAUGGCCCAUGACGGCGAUUACGCCAACUACCUAAAUACAAUGUUACCCAGCAGACCAAUCAUAGGGCUUUCGGUCUGCAAGCCUCUCCAUGUGUAGCUACAUUUUUGAGAAGAUGCACUUCAAGCUACGUGAUUUCUGAGUAAAGGACACUGAACCGCCCCCGCUUUGUGUGCAAACAAUAUUGAAUAACUUCUUCCUGUAAAAAUAUUGCAACUUGAAUAAAUACAAAACUUAUACCUGA